UACGUAGGGUGCAAGCGUUAAUCGGAAUUACUGGGCGUAAAGCGUGCGCAGGCGGUUUUGUAAGACUGUCGUGAAAUCCCCGGGCUCAACCUGGGAAUGGCGAUGGUGACUGCAAGGCUAGAGUUUGGCAGAGGGGGGUAGAAUUCCACGUGUAACAGUGAAAUGCGUAGAUAUGUGGAGGAACACCGAUGGCGAAGGCAGCCCCCUGGGUCAAAACUGACGCUCAUGCACGAAAGCGUGGGGAGCAAACAGG
rnacentral:rRNA from 1 species